rnacentral:rRNA from 1 species
UACGUAGGGGGCUAGCGUUGUCCGGAAUCAUUGGGCGUAAAGAGCGUGUAGGCUGCUCGGUAAGUCCGCUGUAAAAGUCAAAGGCUCAACCUUUGAAUGUCAGUGGAUACUGCCGGGCUAGAGUCCGGAAGAGGCGAGUGGAAUUCCCGGUGUAGCAGUGAAAUGCGUAGAGAUCGGGAGGAACAUCUGUGGCGAAGGCGGCCAUCUGGACCAGCACUGACACUGAGGCACGAAAGCGUGGGAGCAAACAGG